CUGGGAAGUGGACACACUCCCAGCUGAGAUGCCCAGGCAGAUGACAACACAAACCAGAGCAGCUUUCUUGGUGGAGCGCAGGGUGGGAGCCAUGAAAGGGUGCUGGAUAGCGAUGUAGCGGUCUACACAGAUGCAGAGGGAGAUGAGGAUGCUGCCGUACAUAUUUAUAAAGUAAAGACUCUCCAAAAUGGAACAAAACACAGACCCCAAUUUCCACUUGUUCUGAAGGUGAUAGGAAAUGAUUUUAAAAGGAAGAGUGAAGAGCAGCAAAGUAUCCAGGAAAAUAAGGGCUAUCAGGUAGACUGUAGAUUCUGACAACUUUUUAGCUGGAAAAAACAGGAAUGAGAGGGCCAUCACAUUGAACAGCAAUCCCAGGAUAAACGUGGGAGUGUACAUGAUCAGCUGGAACAGUUCUACUCUGGGGUUGAUACUGCUGUUGGUACAGGUGUCGUUCAUGUCUCCAGGUAUACUGAAAUUGAAGAAAAUCAUCUUCACCACAAGGGAGACUGAAAGACCACAUCUAAGAUCUGGUACAAUGGCCAGCAAGGUCUCCUGUCAUCAGGUGGACAGUGUAAGUUCCCGUUCUGCAGACCAAGCCAC
rnacentral:lncRNA from 1 species